GACGAACGCUGGCGGCGUGCUUAACACAUGCAAGUCGAACGGAAAGGCCCUGCUUUUGUGGGGUGCUCGAGUGGCGAACGGGUGAGUAACACGUGAGUAACCUGCCCUUGACUUUGGGAUAACUUCAGGAAACUGGGGCUAAUACCGGAUAGGAUCUCCUGCUGCAUGGUGGGGGUUGGAAAGUUUCGGCGGUUGGGGAUGGACUCGCGGCUAAUCAGCUUGUUGGUGGGGUAGUGGCUGACCAAGGCUUUGACGGGUAGCCGGCCUGAGAGGGUGACCGGCGACAUUGGGACUGAGAUAGGGCCCAGACUCGUACGGGAGGCAGCAGUGGGGAAUAUUGCACAAUGGGCGGGAGCCUGAGGCGGCAACGCCGCGUGCGGGAUGACGGCCUUCGGGUUGUAAACCGCUUUCGCCUGUGACGAAGCGUGAGUGACGGUAAUGGGUAAAGAAGCACCGGCUAACUACGUG
rnacentral:rRNA from 1 species